CCCUCUGCUAAAACCAUAUAUUUUGUAAUUUUUGAUUUGUCAUUGACUAAAGUUUGUUUCCUUCAGCUCCAUUUGUUGCUGCUGUGGUGGGCAUUUGAUUCCUUGAAGCAAACAAGAUUGAUUCUUGUUGGGCUAAUUAGCUUGGUCUAUACAUUUUUCACAUCCAUUAGAACUCUGUUUGAUCAGUGGUUAGAGAUUAUGAAGCAAAUAGAAUAAAGGGGUAGAAGAAGGCGCAAGAUUUUGCUUGUUGAAUGCCUUAAUUCAUUCAGUCUUUGUUCCUUGAGUUCACAAGACCAAUGUUGUGGGAACUCUCAACAUGCUGGGCCUGGCCAAGAGAGUAGGAGCCAGAUUUCUCCUCACAAGCACCAGUGAGGUUUAUGGUGAUCCCUUGCAACACCCACAAGUAGAGACCUACUGGGGCAAAUGUUAAUCCCAUCGGUGUUAGGAGCUGCUACGACGAAGGCAAGCGAACUGCAGAGACUUUGACCAUGGAUUACCAUCGUGGUGCCCAACUUGAGGUGAGAAUUGCUCGUAUCUUCAACACUUAUGGACCUCGGAUGUGCAUUGAUGAUGGUCGCGUUGUGAGCAAUUUUGUUGCCCAGGCCUUGAGGAAGGAGCCAUUGACAGUUUAUGGGGAUGGAAAGCAAACCAGGAGCUUUCAGUAUGUCUCUGAUCUGGUGGAGGGGCUGAUUAAGUUGAUGGAGGGCGAGAAUGUCGUCCAUUCAACCUGGGGAACCCUGGAGAAUUCACCAUGCUGGAGCUUGCAAAGGUAGUGCAGGAUACAAUUGACCUUAAUGCCAAGAUAGAAUUCCGACCAAACACAGCAGACGAUCCCCACAAGCGCAAACCUGACAUCACACGAGCCAAAGAGCUACUUGGCUGGGAACCAAAGGUCUCCCUCCGUGAUGGCCUCCCUCUCAUGGUCACUGAUUUCCGCAAGCGUAUCUUUGGUGACCAAGCUGACAACAAUCCAACCACCACCGCUCACAGCAGAUCCAUCUAAAGGGUCGCUCACAAUAUGCAAAGAUGGAUCAUAAGACUUACAUUUUUUAGUCAAAAGAAGUGAAAGAUCAACUUUUGUUUUCAUUGUUGUCCUUCAAUUCUUCAAUGUACUAUUAUCACCGAGGGCUGAGAAGAGUUAGCUGUGCAUUGCACCACUUCCUGUCCCUUAGUCAUGUGUUUCUCGUCAUUAUUGUUUGUUUUUCUUUUUCUUUACAGAUUGAACCUGGUUUUCAUUUUUGUGCUUAUGUGAAUCGAAUACAGGUGUUCAAAUGUCAUCA